ensembl:lncRNA
GAGCUCAGGCCAGCUGGACCCCAGCCUGCGGGUCAGGCCCGUGACAGUUCCUCGCUGUUUCAGGGUCGAUUCUCUAUGGCGGCUACAUCCUGGAUGCUGGGGACGCAGGGGCUGUGCAGAGUUUGAGCCAGCAGUGCUUAUGCAGCGCCUCACACCUGCUGCCCCCCCGGGGGGUGAAGACUCUCCUCACUGCCCUCGUCAGAGACUCCGACCCGGCUCUGGAGGAGGAGGACGUGAUCGCAGACACCCGGGCUCGCAUGCAGCAGCUCCCGGGCCCAGCAGACCCAGCCUCCUGUGGGCUGUCCGAGGGCCUCCAGCAGCAGCUGCUGGAGAGCCAGAGCCAGAGCCUGCUCGCAGACCUGCUGCGGUCCCAGGACCUCUGGCAGUCACCCCCCCCGCCAAGCACCCAGCAGGAGGUCCUGGGGCAGCUGGUGCAGCAGGGACUGGAGAUGGUGCAGGCGCUGCAGGAUGCGCUGCAGCAGCGAGGCUGGGAGGUGGGGGCCAGAGGGCGCCUCCCAGGGGGGCGCUCACGGCCAAAGCCCCGGCCCCUGCUUCGCUUCCUGCUGGAGGAGUGUGGCAGCUUCCUGGCCCUGCUGCAGCAGGUGGGCCAGGACCUGCGCUGCACCCAGGAGCAGCUGAAGGGGCGGCCCUGCCAGUCCCCGCGCUGCGCCACCAUCCUGCGGGCACUGGAGGGGGGACGCCUCCCCCGCCCCUGGCUGCCCUACGCACCCACGGGCCCCCAGGACCCAAGCAGCUGGCUGCAGACACUCAAGUGUCGCUGCCACCUGCUGUGCGGGUACCUGGGGGUGGUGGCUGGGCAGCCUGUGCCGCUCUAUCACCUCUCUGCCUUCCAGUACCCACGGCGCCUCCUGCUGGCACUGCUCCAGGAAGCAGCCCGGGCCGAGAGGCAGGACCUGGACCACUACCACCUGGACCAACAGGUGCUGUCCGGCCUGCUACCGCCCAGCUCCCCGCCCGAGAGAGGGCUCUACCUGACCGGCCUGGAGCUGCGCAAUGCCCUGUGGGACACACGCUCAGCCCUGCUCCAGGAGACGCUCUCGCCCCAGCCCUGCCUGCUGCCCCCAGUCUGGGUGCAGGCCGUGCGGGAGGCCUGGCAUCCUCACAGGCCCAACGCCUCCCUGCCACAGUACAGCUGCCCCAUCUACCUGGGCCUGCCCCAGCAGCCUGUGUGCUUGAGUAGCCAGCGGGCUCUGAUGCACCUGGCACUGCCCUGCAAGAUGCCCCCUGCCCUGUGUGCCCACCGCCGAGUGCACAUUGUCAGCACGCUGCCUGGCCUGGAAUAAGGAGAGGAGAGAGCUGGUGUGUGGGACCAGCAGCCACAGGCCAUUGCACUGGCACCAAGGGGCCCCCACACUCCGCGCAGCCCCAUGAGGGCUCGGGUCACCUGCAGGAAGCACGCAGCAUGGCUCUGGGACUGCCAGGGAACAGGCUGCAGCUGCAGCCGGCCCCCCAUGGGCCCCUUGGGGGAGAGGUCACCCCCCUGGAAGAUACUCAAGGAGCGGAGUUCGUGCAGCUUCCCACACACAGCCCCAGGUACAG